rnacentral:rRNA from 1 species
AACGAACGCUGGCGGCAGGCCUAACACAUGCAAGUCGAACGCCCUAGCAAUAGGGAGUGGCAUACGGGUGCGUAACGCGCGGGAACCUUCCCAGUGGUACGGAAUAACUCAGGGAAACUUGAGCUAAUACCGUAUACGCCCGAUAGGGGAAAGAUUUAUCGCCAUUGGAUGGGCCCGCGUCGGAUUAGCUAGUUGGAGGGGUAACGGCCCACCAAGGCUACGAUCCGUAGCUGGUCUGAGAGGAUGAUCAGCCACACUGGGACUGAGACACGGCCCAGACUCCUACGGGAGGCAGCAGUGGGGAAUACUGGACAAUGGGCGCAAGCCUGAUCCAGCCAUGCCGCGUGAGUGACGAAGGCCUUAGGGUUGUAAAGCUCUUUCGGCGGGGAAGAUAAUGACGGUACCCGCAGAAGAAGCCCCGGCUAACUCUGUGCCAGCCGCCGCAGUAAUAC